UCCCUCCAAUUUCUAUCCCCAUGUCCACCCCCUCUUCCCCACGACUGCAUCCAGCGGCGAGAUUUGAGGAUCACGCCGCCGUCGCACCCUGCGGCACCAGCCGCGUAAUCCUUCUCCAAUGACAGCUGCUCGCCCGCCCUCUCAUCAAGCCCCGGCCGCCGCGCUCGCUCUCCACAACGAACGGCCGCCACGCCUCGCCGGCCAAGAUCGGAUCCGCCAACCCGCGACAUCGAAGUCGCCAGCGCCGCUCGCCUCAUCCUCACCAUCGCCCACUCCAGCGCCUUCCCCAGCUUCCUUUCUCACCUCGUGCUUUACCAAGAUCUGGACGUUGCCUCGCCACCCCUCCAUCACCCACUACUUGAUAUUAGAUGCUGAUUUAGAAGUUUGGUUUCGUCCAGUGACCAACAAGAUGGCGGCGGCUGGAGACAACAGGUUUGGAAGAGGCAACCCGAUGAUGCAGUGAGGCUAGGGGAUGGGUGAGAAACUAUGCAAGGAACCCCGCUGCCUGCAAUACCAUUAGAUCUGGUCCCCUUCCAACUAUUCGAGGGUAUAUUUUGCUGCUUCCUUAUUUCUUCCAUAAUUUCCGGAUGUAAGAUUUUUGAUCUGUAAUUUGAUUCUUCUAACCACCUAUUUAAGAUCUCCUUUUCCUAGUUGCAUUUCAUCUAGAUAAGGAGUAAGAUCAAUGCCCUUUGCUCUUCUCAAAGAUUGAGGAAGCAUCAUACAACAGCAGUGCGAGUACACAAUUAGCUGUAGCUGCAGAAGAAGAUGUGCACCAGGAGGAUUUAGCCGCGAGACAUGAAGCACAAGAUAGAGAAUUUAAAGAGAUGUAAAGAGGAGCCAACAAGAGAAUAAUAAGCCUGGCAAAAGAAGCAACAUGAGAUGGAUAACCUGAUUGGAUUUCUUUUAAGGGCUCAAGCAACUCAGCAAGCAAAUCAGUCCAACCUGAUGGUGCAUGAAGGCCAUCAUUUUGUGAAAGAAAGAUAGUUAUUUAAUCAUACAUUGCAAUCAUCAGGACAACAUAAGUGGUCUUUUAGUUAUCUAAAUAUUACUUUUUGUCUUAUUUAUUCUUGUGUCAAACUUGAGUCUGUGAUAUUUUUUAUUGUCAUUUCUAUUUAGAAGAUUUGGCUGACAGAUGGAAUAAAUAAUACUAUGAUUUGUCUUUAAU